GGCGUGCUUAACACAUGCAAGUCGAGCGGUAAGGCCCUUCGGGGUACACGAGCGGCGAACGGGUGAGUAACACGUGGGUGAUCUGCCCUGCACUUCGGGAUAAGCCUGGGAAACUGGGUCUAAUACCGGAUAUGACCUUCGGCUGCAUGGCUGUUGGUGGAAAGGUUUACUGGUGCAGGAUGGGCCCGCGGCCUAUCAGCUUGUUGGUGGGGUAAUGGCCUACCAAGGCGACGACGGGUAGCCGACCUGAGAGGGUGACCGGCCACACUGGGACUGAGACACGGCCCAGACUCCUACGGGAGGCAGCAGUGGGGAAUAUUGCACAAUGGGCGAAAGCCUGAUGCAGCGACGCCGCGUGAGGGAUGACGGCCUUCGGGUUGUAAACCUCUUUCAGCAGGGACGAAGCGAGAGUGACGGUACCUGCAGAAGAAGCACCGGCCAACUACGUGCCAGCAGCCGCGGUAAUACGUAGGGUGCAAGCGUUGUCCGGAAUUACUGGG
rnacentral:rRNA from 1 species